ensembl:lncRNA
GUGGCCCUCUCCUCCGCUCUGAGAGCGUUUCCGGAGCGCCUACUGUGUGCUUGUUGCUAGGGUGGGGCGUUACAAGGAAAGAAAGUGCCAGACCCGACCUUAGUAAGCGUGCUCGCUGCAGCGGUCCUCGGGCUGGCGCUGGGAAACUGAGGGACACUUAGUCCUGAGAACCUCCAGUUGGUAAGGGACAGUUCAGGAUGCGAUGGCUCUUCGGUCCCCCAGGGCCCACGGAGUCGAGAAGAAAGCCAUCUCCGAUAAAACCCCAAGCAGGUAGCCCAGUCACGCACUCGAGAGGCGACCGGGGGUGAUAACUGGCAGCGCUUAGGGAGCGUUGAUGACGCAGCCAGGCUGGCCCCGCGCUUCGUGGGCAUCAUCCCGUGCAGUUCUCCGGUUAUCUGGCUGGCUUUGAAUUCCUGAGCUCAAGUGAUCCUCUUGCCCUCAGUCUGCAAGCAGCAAGGACUGCAGGGUCUUGCUAUGUACUUCAGGCUGGUCUUGAACUCACUGUGUAGUCCAGGCUGGCCUCAUACUCAUGGCAAUCCUCCUGCUUCCUGAGUGCUGAGAUUCCAGGCCAGAAAACCAGGAGUGCAGAUAUUCCAGGAGAAGAG